UUAAGCGACUAAGCGUACACGGUGGAUGCCCUGGCAGUCAGAGGCGAUGAAGGACGUGCUAAUCUGCGAUAAGCGUCGGUAAGGUGAUAUGAACCGUUAUAACCGGCGAUUUCCGAAUGGGGAAACCCAGUGUGUUUCGACACACUAUCAUUAACUGAAUCCAUAGGUUAAUGAGGCGAACCGGGGGAACUGAAACAUCUAAGUACCCCGAGGAAAAGAAAUCAACCGAGAUUCCCCCAGUAGCGGCGAGCGAACGGGGAGCAGCCCAGAGCCUGAAUCAGUGUGUGUGUUAGUGGAAGCGUCUGGAAAGGCGCGCGAUACAGGGUGACAGCCCCGUACACAAAAAUGCACAUACUGUGAGCUCGAUGAGUAGGGCGGGACACGUGGUAUCCUGUCUGAAUAUGGGGGGACCAUCCUCCAAGGCUAAAUACUCCUGACUGACCGAUAGUGAACCAGUACCGUGAGGGAAAGGCGAAAAGAACCCCGGCGAGGGGAGUGAAAAAGAACCUGAAACCGUGUACGUACAAGCAGUGGGAGCACAGAGCAAUCUGUGUGACUGCGUACCUUUUGUAUAAUGGGUCAGCGACUUAUAUUCUGUAGCAAGGUUAACCGAAUAGGGGAGCCGAAGGGAAACCGAGUCUUAACUGGGCGUUAAGUUGCAGGGUAUAGACCCGAAACCCGGUGAUCUAGCCAUGGGCAGGUUGAAGGUUGGGUAACACUAACUGGAGGACCGAACCGACUAAUGUUGAAAAAUUAGCGGAUGACUUGUGGCUGGGGGUGAAAGGCCAAUCAAACCGGGAGAUAGCUGGUUCUCCCCGAAAGCUAUUUAGGUAGCGCCUCGUGAAUUCAUCUCCGGGGGUAGAGCACUGUUUCGGCAAGGGGGUCAUCCCGACUUACCAACCCGAUGCAAACUGCGAAUACCGGAGAAUGUUAUCACGGGAGACACACGGCGGGUGCUAACGUCCGUCGUGAAGAGGGAAACAACCCAGACCGCCAGCUAAGGUCCCAAAGUCAUGGUUAAGUGGGAAACGAUGUGGGAAGGCCCAGACAGCCAGGAUGUUGGCUUAGAAGCAGCCAUCAUUUAAAGAAAGCGUAAUAGCUCACUGGUCGAGUCGGCCUGCGCGGAAGAUGUAACGGGGCUAAACCAUGCACCGAAGCUGCGGCAGCGACGCUUAUGCGUUGUUGGGUAGGGGAGCGUUCUGUAAGCCUGCGAAGGUGUGCUGUGAGGCAUGCUGGAGGUAUCAGAAGUGCGAAUGCUGACAUAAGUAACGAUAAAGCGGGUGAAAAGCCCGCUCGCCGGAAGACCAAGGGUUCCUGUCCAACGUUAAUCGGGGCAGGGUGAGUCGACCCCUAAGGCGAGGCCGAAAGGCGUAGUCGAUGGGAAACAGGUUAAUAUUCCUGUACUUGGUGUUACUGCGAAGGGGGGACGGAGAAGGCUAUGUUGGCCGGGCGACGGUUGUCCCGGUUUAAGCGUGUAGGCUGGUUUUCCAGGCAAAUCCGGAAAAUCAAGGCUGAGGCGUGAUGACGAGGCACUACGGUGCUGAAGCAACAAAUGCCCUGCUUCCAGGAAAAGCCUCUAAGCAUCAGGUAACAUCAAAUCGUACCCCAAACCGACACAGGUGGUCAGGUAGAGAAUACCAAGGCGCUUGAGAGAACUCGGGUGAAGGAACUAGGCAAAAUGGUGCCGUAACUUCGGGAGAAGGCACGCUGAUAUGUAGGUGAAGUCCCUCGCGGAUGGAGCUGAAAUCAGUCGAAGAUACCAGCUGGCUGCAACUGUUUAUUAAAAACACAGCACUGUGCAAACACGAAAGUGGACGUAUACGGUGUGACGCCUGCCCGGUGCCGGAAGGUUAAUUGAUGGGGUUAGCGCAAGCGAAGCUCUUGAUCGAAGCCCCGGUAAACGGCGGCCGUAACUAUAACGGUCCUAAGGUAGCGAAAUUCCUUGUCGGGUAAGUUCCGACCUGCACGAAUGGCGUAAUGAUGGCCAGGCUGUCUCCACCCGAGACUCAGUGAAAUUGAACUCGCUGUGAAGAUGCAGUGUACCCGCGGCAAGACGGAAAGACCCCGUGAACCUUUACUAUAGCUUGACACUGAACAUUGAGCCUUGAUGUGUAGGAUAGGUGGGAGGCUUUGAAGUGUGGACGCCAGUCUGCAUGGAGCCGACCUUGAAAUACCACCCUUUAAUGUUUGAUGUUCUAACGUGGACCCGUAAUCCGGGUUGCGGACAGUGUCUGGUGGGUAGUUUGACUGGGGCGGUCUCCUCCUAAAGAGUAACGGAGGAGCACGAAGGUUGGCUAAUCCUGGUCGGACAUCAGGAGGUUAGUGCAAUGGCAUAAGCCAGCUUGACUGCGAGCGUGACGGCGCGAGCAGGUGCGAAAGCAGGUCAUAGUGAUCCGGUGGUUCUGAAUGGAAGGGCCAUCGCUCAACGGAUAAAAGGUACUCCGGGGAUAACAGGCUGAUACCGCCCAAGAGUUCAUAUCGACGGCGGUGUUUGGCACCUCGAUGUCGGCUCAUCACAUCCUGGGGCUGAAGUAGGUCCCAAGGGUAUGGCUGUUCGCCAUUUAAAGUGGUACGCGAGCUGGGUUUAGAACGUCGUGAGACAGUUCGGUCCCUAUCUGCCGUGGGCGCUGGAGAAUGAGGGGGGCUGCUCCUAGUACGAGAGGACCGGAGUGGACGCAUCACUGGUGUUCGGGUUGUCAUGCCAAUGGCACUGCCCGGUAGCUAAAUGCGGAAGAGAUAAGUGCUGAAAGCAUCUAAGCACGAAACUUGCCCCGAGAUGAGUUCUCCCUGACUCCUUGAGAGUCCUGAAGGAACGUUGAAGACGACGACGUUGAUAGGCCGGGUGUGUAAGCGCAGCGAUGCGUUGAGCUAACCGGUACUAAUGAACCGUGAGGCUUAACCUU
rnacentral:rRNA from 1 species